GUGGGGAAUAUUGGACAAUGGGCGAAAGCCUGAUCCAGCCAUGCCGCGUGUGUGAAGAAGGUCUUCGGAUUGUAAAGCACUUUAAGUUGGGAGGAAGGGCAGUAAGUUAAUACCUUGCUGUUUUGACGUUACCGACAGAAUAAGCACCGGCUAACUUCGUGCCAGCAGCCGCGGUAAUACGAAGGGUGCAAGCGUUAAUCGGAAUUACUGGGCGUAAAGCGCGCGUAGGUGGUUUUGUAAGUUGGAGGUGAAAUCCCCGGGCUCAACCUGGGAACUGCCUCCAAAACUGCAUGACUAGAGUACGGUAGAGGGUAGUGAAAUUUCCUGUGUAGCGGUGAAAUGCGUAGAUAUAGGAAGGAACACCAGUGGCGAAGGCGACUACCUGGACUGAUACUGACACUGAGGUGCGAAAGCGUGGGGAGCAAACAGGAUUAGAUACCCGAGUAGUCC
rnacentral:rRNA from 1 species